rnacentral:sRNA from 1 species
AUUUAAAUCUAGAUAUCUAUGUGAUAACAGUAAGAAGACAAAUAUCAAUACACUAAAAGAUCUACAUAAUUAAUAAUAAGAGUCUAUAAUAUAGAUCUAGACUGUAGAAUCUAGAGUCUAGUUCUAGACAUUCUUGAAGUUGAUCUACGCCCGGAUGGAAUCUUCGGCUACGGCCUAGAAAAAUGAUAAAUGCAGAGCAGCAAGAUGAAGUCAUAUGUAACAUGUUUAUGAAUGAAUAGAUCUACACCUGACUUGAAUCUGGAACAUCUAUUAGGACAGUUGACCUAGUGAAAGUUAUCACCAGAAAUCUCUCGAGUCACAAUGUGGACAUUGGUCAUCAGCAUUACUACUGGUUUGGUGUUUACAGUCUUAACUGGAGUGCUGGUCUUAUUCUAUUUCUUGCCACAUAAACUAAUCAGACUCAG